ACACAUGCAGUCGAACGAACUCUUCGGAGUUAGUGGCGGACGGGUGAGUAACACGUGGGAACGUGCCUUUAGGUUCGGAAUAACUCAGGGAAACUUGUGCUAAUACCGAAUGUGCCCUUCGGGGGAAAGAUUUAUCGCCUUUAGAGCGGCCCGCGUCUGAUUAGCUAGUUGGUGAGGUAAAGGCUCACCAAGGCGACGAUCAGUAGCUGGUCUGAGAGGAUGAUCAGCCACAUUGGGACUGAGACACGGCCCAAACUCCUACGGGAGGCAGCAGUGGGGAAUCUUGCGCAAUGGGCGAAAGCCUGACGCANCCAUGCCGCGUGAAUGAUGAAGGUCUUAGGAUUGUAAAAUUCUUUCACCGGGGACGAUNAUGACGGUACCCGGAGAAGAAGCCCCGGCUAACUUCGUGCCAGCAGCCGCGGUAAUACGAAGGGGGCUAGCGUUGCUCGGAAUUACUGGGCGUAAAGGGAGCGUAGGCGGACAUUUAAGUCAGGGGUGAAAUCCCGGGGCUCAACCUCGGAAUUGCCUUUGAUACUGGGUGUCUUGAGUAUGANAGAGGUGUGUGGAACUCCGAGUGUAGAGGUGAAAUUCGUAGAUAUUCGGAAGAACACCAGUGGCGAANGCGACACACUGGCUCAUUACUGACGCUG
rnacentral:rRNA from 1 species